UUAUUAGGUUAUAAUAAGACUAUGUUUGUUACACUAAUUGUUUGUUAAAAAUGGGCAGACGAUGACUUGGCCAAAGACCUCAUCAUACAUCUUACAGUUCACAGGUGUUAGGAUGUGAUUUAAGCAAGGGCCUUGUGGAAGCGAAGACAGCAAGCAUGUUUAAUUCACUAAUGAUCCUUCCGCAGGUUCACCCACGGAAA
rnacentral:misc_RNA from 1 species